UCCUACGGGUGGCAGCAGUGAGGAAUCUUGGGCAAUGGGCGAAAGCCUGACCCAGCGACGCCGCGUGGAGGAAGAAGGCCUUCGGGUCGUAAACUCCUGUUCGGGGAGAAGAACAGGAGAGGAGUGAAUAACUUCUCUCCCUGACGGUAUCCCCGGAGAAAGCUCCGGCUAAUUACGUGCCAGCAGCCGCGGUAAUACGUAAGGAGCGAGCGUUGUCCGGAUUUACUGGGCGUAAAGAGCUCGUAGGUGGUUUCUUAGGUCUCACGUGAAAUUCCCUGGCUCAACGGGGGAGGGUCGUGGGAAACCGAGAAGCUAGAGGGCAGGAGAGGAGAGUGGAAUUCCCGGUGUAGCGGUGAAAUGCGUAGAGAUCGGGAGGAACACCAGUGGUGAAGACGGCUCUCUGGACUGUCCCUGACACUGAGGAGCGAAAGCCAGGGGAGCAAACCGGAUUAGAUACCCGAGUAGUCC
rnacentral:rRNA from 1 species